UCCCUGGUGGCUCAGAGGGCAAAACGUCUGCCUGCAAUGCAGAAGACCCAGGUUUGAUCCCUGGAUUGGGAA
rnacentral:tRNA from 1 species